UACGGAGGAGGCAAGCGUUAUCCGGAAUUAUUGGGCGUAAAGCGUCCGCAGGUGGCUAUUCAAGUCUGCGGUCAAAGACUGGGGCUUAACCCUGGAAAGGCCGUGGAAACUGAAGAGCUAGAGUGCAGUAGGGGUAGAGGGGAUUCCCGGUGUAGCGGUGAAAUGCGUAGAGCUCGGGAAGAACAUCGGUGGCGAAAGCGCUCUACUGGGCCAUGACUGACACUGAGGGACGAAAGCUAGGGGAGCGAAAGGG
rnacentral:rRNA from 1 species